AUUGAACGCUGGCGGAAUGCUUUACACAUGCAAGUCGGGCGGCAGCACGGGGGGCAACCCCUGGUGGCGAGCGGCGAACGGGUGAGUAAUACAUCGGAACGUACCCUGUCGUGGGGGAUAACGAAUCGAAAGAUUCGCUAAUACCGCAUUACGACCUGAGGGUGAAAGCGGGGGAUCGCAAGACCUCGCGCGAUAGGAGCGGCCGAUGUCGGAUUAGCUAGUUGGUGGGGUAAAGGCUCACCAAGGCGACGAUCCGUAGCGGGUCUGAGAGGACGGCCCGCCACACUGGGACUGAGACACGGCCCAGACUCCUACGGGAGGCAGCAGUGGGGAAUUUUGGACAAUGGGGGCAACCCUGAUCCAGCCAUUCCGCGUGAGUGAAGAA
rnacentral:rRNA from 1 species